CACAGUACAGAAUGAGACAUUAAUUCAAGCAGCUAUAUGGAUUUUAGGAGGAGGGGAAAAAAGGUUCACAAGCAACAAAAUUCUCUUCAAGUUUACAUGACGUCACUCUCCUCCUUUACGCUUCCUAAACUUUUUUGCCUCACUACCACAGCAUCUUGUUUCCUAAAAACAAGAAACCUGGGAAUAAAAGUUGGCCAAGAUGGCGAGAGGCUUGUUGUUUAGAGGGCAGAAAAUGGAGGAUAUUGUAAUAUACACAAAGGGAUAAAUUUCAACAACUCAGCUGCAGCUGCUUCUCUUUAUAAGGAAGCAGCACAAAAGAUAUGACAGUCAGGAAGCUCUACACACAUAAGGGUUUGGUUUCUAUUAUGUGUCGAGUUACCAAUAAAAAUCAACGACUAAUUCUCAUUUAAACAAUAAGCAACUUGCAUCCUUAAGCAACACAUUUAAAUCCUUAACAAAAUAAAUCAAUAAUAUCCUUAUCCAAAAGGAAAGAGGUCAGAAUCUACCGUAGCCUGAUACGGAAGAUCAGCUCUUACCUAUUACCCAUGAUAAUUUCUUAAGUCUGUGUAUUCUGCAGGAAAACAAUUAACGCGGAUUGUAAAUAUAAAUAAACUGAAGGAAGUGUCCAGUAGAUUCGCUUACAUUCUGCAUUUUAAAAUCGGUUUAUAAACAGAUCAGUUGGCUGCACGAGUGUGGACACAAAGGCGAUUUUUUUCUAAGCAGAGAACUGGGUCUUGCUAGUCCUGCUAUCUGGUAAACGGCGACAAGGUAAAAACGAGAAGCACUUUCCCACAAAUAAAGUUGAAAAAUCAGAGAACUGUACCAUUAUAAGCCCGUUCAGAAGAUCGUGAAGGCCUUGUCGACCAAAAGCUGAUUUCCAGAAAAGUAUCAUCCUGUGUUUCAUUCAAAGAAAUGUGAUUCCUAUAACCUCCAGUUAUAUAUGUGGGACUGCAACAAGGAAUCUGAACAAAACACUGCCAAGUUAUCUCUAAAAAUAAGUGUCAAGUGGGUUGUAGCAGGUAUUGUGAAGCAAUCAGACAUUACCUUGGUGACCAGAAUCAUCGCGUUGUCUGUUUUCUGAGAGUAACGGUUUGGGUAUUUGCAAAAAAAAAAAAAAAAAGUGAUCAAAAUCUAACAUCUACUGAAAAUCUGCCUGUCAGCACUUACUUAAGUUAAGGUGUUGUCCAAGGGCAGCACCUCAGGAGUGCAGCAUCCCCUAAUGCUUCACUGCAUUUUCAUUAUUGGAACAAGAAUCCCGUCACCUGCUGUGGUGGGGAUAAACCCACAGACUUCUGAUCUUCCUGGCAUAAAAGGUGAGUGUGCAACCUGCUGAGCCCCUGACACAGACUGUCAAUUAUUUCUUCAUAUUUUGUAAAGAACUUAUGCAGUAAAAUAUAACAGAAGUGGCUAAGUAACUUAAUCCAUAUAUGAAAAUAAUUACAUUAUAAACUACUAGCCGUGGUAUGGCACGUCAUUUUAGAGCUCUUGUGCUGUACAAAAUGCCAUCCACAUGUUUUGUCAUCAUCAUGAUUGUUUUCAUUUCUUAAAUAAAUAUAUAGUAUACCCGAAAAUUGCUGGCACAGUAUUCUUCAGGUAAUACUAUUGCUAAAGUUAUAAAAAUAGAAUUAUUGGAUCUUGUUUUAGAUGAAUAAAUCAUAUCUGAAAUUCGGUCUGGUAUGACCAGAGUGUACAAAAUAUUGCUGUCUUUAACUAAAUUGUACCAUGUAAUAUUCACCUGCUUUCUAUUGUAUUAUGAUUUUUUUUCUUUUUUCUACUUGUAUUGUUUUUAUAUUGUUUGGGAGUUUUUCUUCUUGGGCCUCCACUGAAAGUGUCUUUUCUCGACCCAGGUGGAUAUUCCUGGUAAACAAGUGCCAAUAA